rnacentral:rRNA from 1 species
GACGAACGCUGGCGGCGUGCCUAAUACAUGCAAGUAGAACGCUGAAGGAGGAGCUUGCUUCUCUGGAUGAGUUGCGAACGGGUGAGUAACGCGUAGGUAACCUGCCUGGUAGCGGGGGAUAACUAUUGGAAACGAUAGCUAAUACCGCAUAAGAGUAGAUGUUGCAUGACAUUUGCUUAAAAGGUGCAAUUGCAUCACUACCAGAUGGACCUGCGUUGGAUUAGCUAGUUGGUGGGGUAACGGCUUACCAAGGCGACGAUACAUAGCCGACCUGAGAGGGGGAGCGGCCACACUGGGACUGAGACACGGCCCAGACUCCUACGGGAGGCAGCAGUAGGGAAUCUUCGGCAAUGGACGGAAGUCUGACCGAGCAACGCCGCGUGAGUGAAGAAGGGUUUCGGAUCGUAAAGCUCGGUUGUAAGGGAAGAACGAGUGUGAGAGUGGAAAGUUCACACUGUGACGGUAUCUUAUCAGAAAGGGACGGCUAACUACGUG